UCAAUCUCUCAUCAGUCAUCAUCUUUGUCAUAUUCUUCGUACCUCAAGUUCAACUCCCUGUCGUUGUCUCCCUCUUUGAUUAAUCGUUAGUUCGUCACUCGUCACAUAUCCAAUCCGUCAUUCCCAUUCCCAAUACCACAGUCGUCGGUCGCCGUCACUCAUCCUCGUCGAUUGAUCCAAGCAUUCUUGGUGGACUCGUGGUAAAGUUUGGGCAAAAGGUGUUUGACAUGUCCAUUAAGACUAGGGCACGACAAAUGGAGAGGUUCUUGCGUGAACCUGCUAACUUUGGCAUCAUCUAAAGCGCCAGUCACCCAAGCCCUAGAUUUUCAAGUUACUUCUACAUAAUUUGGGAUGCUCCAACAAGAAAAACAAGUAUUUAUAUGCUUGUUUGAUUCUGUUUGAUCAUGCUCUGCCUUUUCAUAGGAUGGAAUGCAUCCAUUGGAAAAUAAAAGUCACUUUUGCCUUUCACAUUGCUUUAAAGCAAAAACAACUAUUAGACCUUAACUUUUCUUUUUGUGGUUCUCCGUUUACUGAUACCAUUUGUGAUCAUAAUUUGUUCAAAUAA